AUUGAACGCUGGCGGCAGGCUUAACACAUGCAAGUCGAGCGGGGGGAGGUAGCUUGCUACCUAACCUAGCGGCGGACGGGUGAGUAAUGCUUAGGAAUCUGCCUAUUAGUGGGGGACAACAUUUCGAAAGGGAUGCUAAUACCGCAUACGCCCUAAGGGGGAAAGCAGGGGAUCUUCGGACCUUGCGCUAAUAGAUGAGCCUAAGUCGGAUUAGCUAGUUGGUGGGGUAAAGGCCUACCAAGGCGACGAUCUGUAGCGGGUCUGAGAGGAUGAUCCGCCACACUGGGACUGAGACACGGCCCAGACUCCUCCGGGAGGCAGCAGUGGGGAAUAUUGGACAAUGGGGGGAACCCUGAUCCAGCCAUGCCGCGUGUGUGAAGAAGGCCUUUUGGUUGUAAAGCACUUUAAGCGAGGAGGAGGCUACCGAGAUUAAUACUCUUGGAUAGUGGACGUUACUCGCAGAAUAAGCACCGGCUAACUCUGUGCCAGCCGCCGCUGUAACAC
rnacentral:rRNA from 1 species